rnacentral:rRNA from 1 species
CCUACGGGAGGCAGCAGUGAGGAAUAUUGGUCAAUGGUCGGGAGACUGAACCAGCCAAGCCGCGUGAGGGAUGAAGGUACAGAGUAUCGUAAACCUCUUUUGUCAGGGAACAAAGGCGGGGACGCGUCCCCGGAUGAGUGUACCUGAAGAAAAAGCAUCGGCUAACUCCGUGCCAGCAGCCGCGGUAAUACGGAGGAUGCGAGCGUUAUCCGGAUUUAUUGUGUUAAAAGGGUGCGCAGGCGUUUGGUUAAGUCAGCGGUAAAAGCCCGGGGCCAAACCCCGGCCCGCCGUUGAAACUGGCAGUCUCGAGUUGGAGAGAAGUAUGCGGAAUGCGCGGUGUAGCGGUGAAAUGCAUAGAUAUCGCGCAGAAAUCCGAUUGCGAAGGCAGCAUGCCGGCUCCACACUGACGCUGAGGCACGAAAGCGUGGGUAUCGAACAGGAUUAGAUACCCCGGUAGUC